AAGUUUCUGCGAUGUGCGUGAACUCAUAUAAUUCAACCGACAAAUUAGACACGGGUGUCUAAGUUUAUCAGUGGAUAACAAGCCUCUUUAAGAGGACGUUAAAAAUUGGUAACAAGAAUCCCACCUUACAUUAGGCGGGUGUGAAUUAAUUGGGAUAACGGCAUUGCGGGAAUAUA
rnacentral:other from 2 species